GUUCUCAACUCAACAGUACAUAUACAAAAAUUGGAAUGAUGCAAAGAUUCGCAUGGCCCUUGUUCAAGGAUGACAUGCACAUUUUUUGAAGCAUUCCAUAUUUUA